AACAACACGUUAUAUAGAACGUUAUAUGUAUGUUGUAAAUAUGUUGCGAAUGUUAUGUACACGUUGUAAAUAGGUUGGGAAUGUUAUGUACACGUUGUAAAUAGGUUGGGAAUGUUAUAUACGUUGUAAAUAGGUUGAAAAUGUUAUAUACAUGGUGUAAAUAGGUUGAGAAUGUUAUAUACAUUUUGUAAAUAGGUUGAGAAUGUUAUAUACAUGGUGUAAAUAGGUUGAGAAUGUUAUAUACAUUUUGUAAAUAGGUUGAGAAUGUUAUAUACAUGGUGUAAAUAGGUUGAGAAUGUUAUAUACAUGGUGUAAAUAGGUUGAGAAUGUUAUAUACAUGGUGUAAAUAGGUUGAGAAUGUUAUAUACAUGGUGUAAAUAGGUUGAGAAUGUUAUAUACAUGGUGUAAAUAGGUUGAGAAUGUUAUAUACAUGUUGUAAAUAGGUUGAGAAUGUUAUAUACAUGGUGUAAAUAGGUUGAGAAUGUUAUAUACAUGGUGUAAAUAGGUUGAGAAUGUUAUAUACAUGGUGUAAAUAGGUUGAGAAUGUUAUAUACAUGGUGUAAAUAGGUUGAGAAUGUUAUAUACAUUUUGUAAAUAGGUUGAGAAUGUUAUAUACGUUUUGUAAAUAGGUUGAGAAUGUUAUAUACAUGGUGUAAAUAGGUUGAGAAUGUUAUAUACAUGGUGUAAAUAGGUUGAGAAUGCUAUAUACAUGGUGUAAAAAGUUGACUAUAUCAUGUAAACGUUAACACAUCAGAAUAUGUAGUACAUCUGUAAUGACCUAAAACAUGUCUUAUCAGCCAUUUCGACCUUCACAUUUAAUCAAACGGGUAAAUUCAUGAUAAUCUAUCUGGUAUCUUAAUGUCACAGCUAUUUUUCAGGGGUCGUUUCUAAACAGGACCCAGUUUAGUAGAGUGUGAAUUGCAAAUGUCAACUUUAUAAAAAGUCAGCCUUAAUGGAAUUUUAGGAGAACAAAGACGAUUAGAAAUGUAAUGCUGGCU